AUAGUUUUCAUUUAUAUUAGAGUCGUUAAAUAUUAUGGGUAAAAUAUUCUACCAACAUUGUGAAAACAUUUUCAAAGUAUUGUUUGCAAGAUGCGAGACAUACAUAAUAUUGCCAUAGGCAAUAUUAAUUUAGCCCAGCUCCAGCCGAGGGAUUACAAAACCCGCAAUACUGGGAAAAAUACUCCCUAUAAAACAAUGAUAAGGUGCUUAUCUGGAACAGACGUCGAGCUGAUAGGAAGGGUGGAAAAAUGACAUGGCCUUGGCUGGGUCCUUUUACAGUUGUGAAUGACAAAAGCAAUGUAGAGUAAUGAGUGCCUGUGGGAAACAGAUAAAAAUUCUAGAAAAUAUUUGUAACAUAAAACAUUAUGUUACAAGAAAAGAUGACACAAUUAAAGCAGGACAGAAAAAAGUUCCCAGGUUACCAAGUAAAAAGUUUCA